GAUAUCAACUGAAAAAGUCAUCAACAACAAAGUUAAAUAACUCAUCAAGAUCUAAAACUUUUAUUUUGGUCAUUUCUUCAUACGACAAAGUGAUAGUAACAUUGUUUACAAAAUUGACAUAUCUCUUAUCUGGUUUUAUAAACUAUAACACAUAUAUGUAAAAUUUGUGAAUAAUAUUACUAACAUUUCGUCAGAUGAAGAAAUAACAAAAAUAAAAGUUUUAGAUCUUGAUGAGUUAUUCAACUUUGUUGUUGAUGACUUUUUCAAUUGAAAUC
rnacentral:pre_miRNA from 1 species